rnacentral:rRNA from 1 species
GACGAACGCUGGCGGCGUGCCUAAUACAUGCAAGUCGAGCGAAUGACGAGAAGCUUGCUUCUCUGAUUUAGCGGCGGACGGGUGAGUAACACGUGGGCAACCUGCCCUACAGAUUGGGAUAACUCAGGGAAACCUGGACUAAUACCGGAUAAUCCUUCGAAUCACAUGUUUUGAAGUUGAAAGGCGCUUCGGCGUCACUGUAGGAUGGGCCCGCGGUGCAUUAGCUAGGUGGUGGGGUAACGGCCUACCAAGGCAACGAUGCAUAGCCGACCUGAGAGGGUGAUCGGCCACAUUGGGACUGAGACACGGCCCAAACUCCUACGGGAGGCAGCAGUAGGGAAUCUUCCACAAUGGACGAAAGUCUGAUGGAGCAACGCCGCGUGAGUGAUGAAGGUUUUCGGAUCGUAAAACUCUGUUGUAAGGGAAGAACAAGUACGUUAGGAAAUGAACGUACCUUGACGGUACCUUAUUAGAAAGCCACGGCUAACUACGUGCCAGCCGCCGCAGUAA